rnacentral:lncRNA from 1 species
AGGCGGAGACACAAGGCUCCGUUCCACUGGGCACGCCAGCGGGUAGGGGUGGGGGCGGGGAGGUGCGCGCGCAGCGUGGGAGGAGGCCAACUCUCGGGGCGCUCCCUAGCCCUGGGUGGGUGGAGCGGGGGAAGCGGAGUACGUUGGACCCGGCUCCGCCCUACCCCACGGGGCCGCCUGGAGAGGUGCUGGGAGCUGGGUGGAGCUUAGAGGAAUUAAACUUUGGCCCUGCGCCUCGUCCAGCCUAGGUUCCACCCUUUUCUGGGAACGUGAGUAUCAACCAAGAAUGAAUCUCGCUGUGUUGUCCAGGCUGGAGUGCAGUGGCACCAUCUCGGCUCACUGCAACCUCUGGCUCCCAGGUUCAAGCGAUUCUCCUGCCUCAGCCCCCUGAGUAGCUGGGAUUACAGGCACGCGCCACCACUCCCAGUUUACACCCCGCCACUCCUGAGCACCGCACACCGGCUUCCUCCCAGUCCCUCAUCUGAGAACUCAUGAAGCCACUUGGAAUCCCUCUCUGCUUUGCCUGGCUCAUUCCAUGUCAAUUUCAGAUCUUCACUUCAGGUCAGCUCCAAGGAGGCUAUCCUUGCCCAUCUUCCUAAAAUAGAGCUCUCAAAACCUGGCUGUUUUCCUUCAGAGCACUGGCCUCCAAUUGCUCCGGUAGAUUGCAAAUGACCUGCUUUCUUUCUGUUCCCGGGCGUUUGGACCCCUGUCUUGGACCGCUGUCGGAUAGUAAAUCCCAAGUAAGGUACCUGCCGUCGGCAGAUUUGAGCUUUCUUCUUGGACACCUAAUACCCAGAGUCCUCCAGGCUCCGGUAGAUUGCAAAUGACCUGCUUUCUUUCUGUUCCCGGGCGGCAUCGGACCCGUCGGAGAGUAAAUCCCAAGUAAGGUACCUGCCGUUGGCAGAUUUGAGCUUUCUUCUUGGACACCUAAUACCCACAGUCCUCCAGGCUCCGGUAGAUUGCAAAUGACCUGCUUUCUUUCUGUUCCCGGGUGGCAUCGACCCGUCGGAGAGUAAAUCCCAAGUAAGGUACCUGCCGUUGGCAGAUUUGAGCUUUCUUCUUGGACACCUAAUACCCACAGUCCUCCAGUAAAUCCCAAGCAAGGUACCUGCCGUCAGCAGAUUUGAGCUUUCUUCUUGGACACCUAAUACCCACAGUCCUCCAGGCUCCGGUAGAUUGCAAAUGACCUGCUUUCUUUCUGUUCCCGGGCUGCGUUCGGACCCCUGUCGGAUAGUAACUCCCAAGCUCCGGUAGAUUGCAAAUGACCUGCUUUCUUUCUGUUCCCGGGCUGCGUUCGGACCCCUGUCGGAGAGUAAAUCCGAAAAAAACAAACAAAGACAUGGAUUUACUGUGCAUAUUAGCAGAUCCAUACUGGAAAAUGCAUGGAGGUUUCAUAUACACCACUUACAGUUUUCAGCUCCUCAGUAGUGACAAAGCCAUACCCAUCAUUGUCGAUUCGAUCAACAAUCUUCCCUAGCCUCUCCUUGCUCUCGUCCGGGGUGAGCUCGUCGAAGUUCUUGGAGUCCUCCUUGCCCAGGAAGGCCUCGUGGUCGUACUGGAAGCUCUGGUUGUCCUCAGGGGGCCGCUCGCCCAGCUCCGAGUCGGGCCGCACCACGCGCUCUUUGCGCACCGUGGGCUUGGCCCGCAGAACCCGCGGCGCCAGCACCAGCGCCAGCAGCAGCCCCAGGGCUAACCCCAGGCGGCCACCGCGCGCCAUCGUCCCGAGGAGAGGGCGGCCGGGAGGGAGACGCUGAGCGAGCGACAACAGCGGCAGCUCGGGAAUGGGGGCUCGGAGCGCGGCGGCCAAGUUUUAUGUUAUGUAUAUUUUACAAGUAAAAAAAUUUUUUCACCUCAGCCUGA